rnacentral:lncRNA from 1 species
GAUCCUUUGUACUUGUGUAAGCCCUUCACUACUAAUAAGAACUCCUCUACUCCGUGGACGUAACCAAUCUGGGUGAACCACGUACAUCCUGUGUUUGCUUCUCUGUCUCUAUUCAUUUACGUACUUAUCCUCACUAGUGACCGAAGCAACCAAGCGAAGGUCAUAAAACCUGACAGUUUUUGUUGUACCAAAGUCUUCGCUGAUUUUGUGCAUCAACAUUUGGCGCCGUCUGUGGGAAACGACACUUAUUCCUACUCUCUUCAGCUGUGUCAAGCUGGUUUCUAUCAUUCGUACACUUUAUUUUGAUCAGGCAUCCCUCUCCAGCAUGGGAAGCGAAGGAAGCCACAUCACACAGAAUGACACCCCCUUGUACAUAGUGCGAAACAACGAAAGAAGGAAGGAAAACGAGUUCUUCUUCAAGCUAAAGUCG